rnacentral:rRNA from 1 species
UACGAAGGUCCCGAGCGUUGUUCGGAAUCACUGGGCGUAAAGGGAGCGUAGGCGGCGUGGUAAGUCAGAUGUGAAAUCCCGGGGCUCAACCCCGGAACUGCAUCCGAUACUGCCGUGCUUGAGGGUUGGAGAGGUAGCUGGAAUUAUCGGUGUAGCAGUGAAAUGCGUGGAUAUCGAUAGGAACACUCGUGGCGAAGGCGAGCUACUGGACAACAUCUGACGCUGAGGCUCGAAGGCCAGGGGAGCAAACGGG